UACGUAGGGUGCAAGCGUUAAUCGGAAUUACUGGGCGUAAAGCGUGCGCAGGCGGUGAUGUAAGACAGUUGUGAAAUCCCCGGGCUCAACCUGGGAACUGCAUCUGUGACUGCAUCGCUGGAGUGCGGCAGAGGGGGAUGGAAUUCCGCGUGUAGCAGUGAAAUGCGUAGAUAUGCGGAGGAACACCGAUGGCGAAGGCAAUCCCCCUGGGCCUGCACUGGACGCUCAUGCACGAAAGCGUGGGGAGCAAACAGG
rnacentral:rRNA from 1 species